rnacentral:tRNA from 1 species
ACUAUUAUAGUGUAUAUAAAACACAUUACAUUUUCAUUGUAAAAAAAAGAUUUUUCUUUAAAAGUU